rnacentral:rRNA from 1 species
GACGAACGCUGGCGGCGUGCUUAACACAUGCAAGUCGAACGGAAAGGCCCUGCUUUUGUGGGGUGCUCGGGUGGCGAACGGGUGAGUAACACGUGAGUAACCUGCCCUUGACUUUGGGAUAACUACAGGAAACUGGGGCUAAUACCGGAUAGGAGCUCCUGCUGCAUGGUGGGGGUUGGAAAGUUUCGGCGGUUGGGGAUGGACUCGCGGCUUAUCAGCUUGUUGGUGGGGUAGUGGCUUACCAAGGCUUUGACGGGUAGCCGGCCUGAGAGGGUGACCGGCCACAUUGGGACUGAGAUACGGCCCAGACUCCUACGGGAGGCAGCAGUGGGGAAUAUUGCACAAUGGGCGGAAGCCUGAUGCAGCAACGCCGCGUGCGGUAUGACGGCCUUCGGGUUGUAAACCGCUUUCGCCUGUGACGAAGCGUGAGUGACGGUAAUGGGUAAAGAAGCACCGGCUAACUACGUG